GACUGCUUGGCGCAAUGGUAGCGCGCGGUCCUCCUAUUACAGCGGUUUACCGUUGAAAUAGGUAGUGAAAGACUGAGGUUGCGGGUUCGAGUCCCGUGGUGGUCG
rnacentral:tRNA from 1 species